rnacentral:rRNA from 1 species
AUUGAACGCUGGCGGCAGGCUUAACACAUGCAAGUCGAGCGGAGAUGAGGUGCUUGCACCUUAUCUUAGCGGCGGACGGGUGAGUAAUGCUUAGGAAUCUGCCCAUUAGUGGGGGACAACAUUCCGAAAGGAAUGCUAAUACCGCAUACGUCAUACGGGAGAAAGCAGGGGAUCUUCGGACCUUGCGCUAAUAGAUGAGCCUAAGUCGGAUUAGCUAGUUGGUGGGGUAAAGGCCUACCAAGGCGACGCUCUGUAGCGGGUCUGAGAGGAUGAUCCGCCACACUGGGACUGAGACACGGCCCAGACUCCUACGGGAGGCAGCAGUGGGGAAUAUUGGACAAUGGGGGGAACCCUGAUCCAGCCAUGCCGCGUGUGUGAAGAAGGCCUUAUGGUUGUAAAGCACUUUAAGCGAGGAGGAGGCUACUGAGACUAAUACUCUUGGAUAGUGGACGUUACUCGCAGAAUAAGCACCGGCUAACUCUGUGCCAGCCGCCGCGGUAACAC